UCAUGGCGCAUGACACGCAAACUUCUCAGGUAUGUGAAAAACACAAUUUUGAAUAUUUUUUAAAAAAACCUUUUGGAAAAUGUUCAGAGAAACAUAGACUAUGUCUGUUAUGUGCGAAAAAUUCAAAAUUUUGCGUAUAAAACGUUUUUUAAACAAUGUUUAAGUUGGUUGUCACAAGUAAGGAAAAAUACACGAAUUGCUUAUAUGUAGGCAUUGUUUAAAAAACGUUUUAAACGCAAAAUUUUGAAUUUUUCGCACAUAACAGACAUAGUCUAUGUUUCUCUGAACAUUUUCCAAAAGGUUUUUUUAAAAAAUAUUCAAAAUUGUGUUUUUCACAUACCUGAGAAGUUUGCGUGUCAUGCGCCAUGAUUUGUGACCUUAACAUUGUUUAAAAAACGUUUUAAACGCAAAAUUUUGAAUUUUCCGCACAUAACAGACAGAGUCUAUGUUAUUCUGAACAUUUUCCAAAAGGUUUUUUUAAAAAAUAUUCAAAAUUGUGCUUUUCACAUACCUGAGAAGUUUGCGUGUCAUGCGCCAUGAUUUGUGACGUCACGAAGGUUCAAAUGCUCUUAAUUAAUUAACAUAGAAAUAAAAUAAAUUAACGUGAAUGAAAAUUUUUCUGAAUUUUGAUUAAAGAAAAACUUGAAUUUAAUAUUCAGUAUUAUUUUAUGCAGAAUGAAGGGACUUUUGAAAAACUUGGUUUCGUCAAAGUUUAUUGAAGAGAGAAUAAAGCGAGGAGAAAAAGCAAGAGAUAGAGAAAAAAAAGAGGGGCAUUCUUGAGUUGAAAAAAGUCAGUUGCAUAUGUGAGUGCCAUCUUUAUUUUUCACUUUUGUCAAGUUUCAUAAUACCACGUGGCAUUUUAGUCGAAGGUAUUGUUACCACCACCAACGAGAAAAAAAGAAAAUAUAGUGAGAGUCGCGAUAGCAUUUUCCCACGAGUUUUCUCUGCAUUCUCUCCAUCAACCCUAUACCCAAAAGUGCACGUUGCAAAUAUAUUCUCUCUCUCUCUCUCUCUCUCUCUUUCUCUCUUUUCUCCAUUUUACCUCAUUCCCUUCUUGACUUCCGUUGGGACAUAGGGAAAAGUCAAGACGCUCGGCUUCUAUCGCAUUUUUGCAAUUUAAUUUUACCAUCGUUUCUGUAGUUGUGUGUCUCUUAUACAUGUGAAUCAAUAACUCUGAGAGAAUUGUAUAUCAAAUACAUAGCAAUUGGAUUUUAAAAUUGUUCGACAUGAAACUUUACCCCAAGUCAAUUUACCUUAGAAUUUAUUCAUUUAAGGGGUUAUGCCACUCUAGGAUUUUCAAAAAAUCGCUUUUUUUUUUUUGCUUUAAAUAGUUCCUUAGGGUCUCAGAAAUAACAUAUUGCAGGAUUAUGGCUCGGAAAGAUCUCUAAAUAAUUUAUUUUCGAAGUUCCUUGCAAGGCUGCACGGUACGCGGCGAGCUCAUUUUGUAAGUUCUACGGGGGGUAAUAUUUGAAGGAUCUACAGCAGGUAUACGGCAGAUGUUUUCAAAGGCGCUAGUUACUUGCUAGACUAUAGUGGUCAAUUAUAUGGUGCAGGCAUUGCAGAUUAAAGGAGCAGUUAGUUCGGCCACGUACCCCUUGAACCAUAGAGGAGUCGAAGGACGACCGCUACAGCGCCACCAUUCUUCAAGAAAUAUUUAUAAGAAAUUAUUUUUUUACACCUAAAAAGAUGUAUAAUAAACUUCUUAUAUUAUAUUUUUAA